AAGCACUUUGAAAAGAGAGUGCAAGAGAACGUGAAACCGAUGUAAUGGAAGCGAAUGGAGCCGACGUAUCUAGUGCGUAUUCAUUCGGGUGGGCAUAUUAGGUCUGGUUAUUAUUCCGUAGAGGUUUAUAGCUGGUACUGUUUGUAUGUUCAUUCGAUGCAUUUACGUACGGAGUGCGCUGAGCCGGUUGACUUUGCGGUUGUAAGCGUGUCUAGAGGAUCGACUUCGGUUGAAAACCUGGGCGCGUGGACGGCUGUUGAGGUUGGCUGUAGAUUGGGUCGCAGGCUAACGUGUUCGUUGUGCUUGGAUCAUGAUGCAUUGGCGUGACACAUGUGUGCCGUUAUUGUGUUGUGGUUUGGGUGGGAUGAAUGCUCUGUGUGCUCGCUCGGUGUCUAGUUGGUCACCCAUUUGACCCGUCUUGAAACACGGACCAAGGAGUUUAAGGCGUGCGCGAGUCAAUGGGCUGUGAAACCCAAAGGCGAAAUGAAAGUGAAACACUCAGUGUUUUAGGUGCGAUCGGUAGGUGUUUCGAUGCCCGUCGAGCAGCAUCGCUCCGUUCCUGGGACUUGUCCUGGUGCGGCAGCUGAGCGUACGCCUUGAGACCCGAAAGAUGGUGAACUAUGCCUGAACAGGACGAAGCCAGAGGAAACUCUGGUGGAAGUUCGAAGCGGUUCUGACGUGCAAAUCGAUCGUAUGAUUUUGGUAUAGGGGCGAAAGACUAAUCGAACCAUCUAGUA
rnacentral:rRNA from 1 species